rnacentral:rRNA from 1 species
UUGACGGGGGCCCGCACAAGCGGUGGAGCAUGUGGUUUAAUUCGAUGAUACGCGAGGAACCUUACCUGGGCUCAAAUGUAUGUUGACGUAUUCUGAAAGGGAUACUUCUUCGGACAAUAUACAAGGUGCUGCAUGGUUGUCGUCAGCUCGUGCCGUGAGGUGUCGGGUUAAGUCCCAUAACGAGCGCAACCCCUAUCAUUAGUUGCCAUCAGGUCAAGCUGGGGACUCUAAUGAAACUGCCUACGCAAGUAGUGAGGAAGGUGGGGAUGACGUCAAAUCAGCACGGCCCUUACGUCCAGGGCUACACACGUGCUACAAUGGCCGGUACAGAGCGCAGCGAAGCCGCGAGGCAAAGCGAAUCGCAAAAAGCCGGUCUCAGUACGGAUUGGAGUCUGAAACCCGACUCCAUGAAGUUGGAAUCGCUAGUAAUCGCGCAUCAGCAUGGCGCGGUGAAUACGUUCCCGGGCCUU